AGACGUAGGGGGCGAGCGUUAUCCGGAUUCACUGGGCGUAAAGGGCGCGUAGGCGGCUUGGUAAGUCAGAUGUGAAAGCCCGGGGCUUAACCCCGGAAGUGCAUUUGAAACUAUCAGGCUUGAGUAUGGGAGAGGGAAGUGGAAUUCCUGGUGUAGAGGUGAAAUUCGUAGAUAUCAGGAGGAACACCGGUGGCGAAGGCGACUUCCUGGACCAAUACUGACGCUGAGGCGCGAAGGCGUGGGGAGCAAACAGGAUUAGAAACCCUAGUAGUCC
rnacentral:rRNA from 1 species